UGUGCUUAAAACAAGAACUAAUGUCUGCCAGUGAGGUAUGAAAACUUGUUUUCUCUUUGAAUUAAGUUAAGUUUUCUAAGUCCACUGGCAGAUAUUUGUUUCUGUUUUAAGUAUAAACAAUUCAUUUUGUGGAAAACACAGUGAGCUAAAUUUGAGAACAGCAAUGAUUGUAGCAUGAAGAAAGAUUCAUGCCACAAUCUCAACAAAUUCACAACAAAAAUGUCUGAAGGUUACAACAGUCAAAAAUUGGUAGGAAGUGAACAGGCCCUUGCUUUGAAUGACUUCAGUACAUCUACAGCCACAGGACAUCGCUAGUCUCGAACACUGCUCUGGUCUUGGUCCACUCUUCUUCCAGUUUUUUUCCCACAGUUUAGUGUCUAAGUGGGUUUCUUAACCAUAGCUUUGUUGCCAACGAUUUUCCUGAAGUUUUCAGUUGGGUUUAGAUCUGGACUCUGGGCUGGCCAUUUCAUUAUUUGAAUGUUUUCGGCUUCAUGGAACUGCUUUAACCAUUUUGCCAUGUGACAAAGGCAUUGUCCUACAUGAAAACUGCUGGCUGAUUAGGUGAUAAAAGCAGGGAAGGAACCGCAUGUUGUCGCAGAAGAGUGCUCUCUAAUGUGGUGAACAGCACAUUCUAGAGCCCAGUUUUAUGGUGGGGCCCCUCUCUGACCACAACAAUGGACAAAGGUUUGCUACAUUUUGAUUGGAUCUUGGUGGACAAACAGAAAUAAACUGUCUGCCAUCAGACAGAGAUGCUAGGACAAUGGCCAAACACUUCUUAGAGGGCAAGAAGAAGACCUCUGGUACUAAGCCACUAAGGACAUACUAACAUCCCAUUGGUCCACAUGCAGUUUCUGCCCUUCACCCAUCUAGAGACUGAUUCCUAUAGUUGUGUCCUGUGACCGCCAUAAAAAUUCCUUAGAACCUCCAGAUGCAUAACUUAAAACCUUAAAACUGGAUUUUCAACAACACACCCAUCUCAUACUAAUUCAGAAGAAUAAAUACUCUCAAUAACAGUUAUGUGUAGUGCAACACCUUGCACAAACACAGCUGUUAAUGGACAAAUUAAAGCCACUCAGAAUGGUCAGUAGCAAAAUAUAAUGUUCUACAUGAAUGCAAGUGAUAUUCACAUCAUGUUUGGUAUCAUUUGAAAUGUAUCAGUGCGACUGGUACAAUGGUCCUAGUCUUACAGGAAAUAAACUAAAAGCUAAUAA